rnacentral:tRNA from 1 species
GGGCCUCUAGCUCAUGCCUGGUUAGAGCAGCGGACUACUCCGUUGGUGCCGUGUUCGACUCACGGGAGGCCCACCA